GGAGUAUGUAACCCAGUGGGAAAGAGGUGGUACACAGUAAAGCCACUAGAGGGCGCUCUAUUUUGGGGAAAGUCAGUAGGACCGAACGAGUGCGUCACGUGACUGACUGGUGGCGUUGGUGAUUUAUCUCGUUGCUCUAUGGUGUGGGUGUCUGUGAACACCAAAAGCAUUUGAGCUAGCACCGUGAUACGAGCUGUGAGUAUGUGAGUAUGUUGUAAUGUCUUGCGUCAUUUGUAUAUUGAUGGACCAAAUGUUUAAUGUUGUGGAUUUCAGAGGUAACUGUAUGUGUGAUUUGUUGUCUUUUGUUUCUGUAUUAGCAGAAGAGUUACCACUGCGGUUUAUUUAUGUAUUAGAAAGAUAUAAUUGAGUUCAGACACCUAAAUUGAUUACAAAUUACUUUAACACUUCUCUUAAACAUAAAGAGAACUCGAGAAAUAAAGAUCCCAAACUCUA